AGAAAUAACAAUACAGGGCUAAUGUCUUGUAAUUGGAAUGAUGGUGACCCAAACCCUCACCAGAGUAGCAAUUGGAGGGCAAGUCUGGUGCCAGCAGCCGCGGUAAUUCCAGCUCCAAUAGCGUAUAUUAAACUUGUUGCAGUUAAAAAGCUCGUAGUUGAAUUUUAGCGUGUUCGAGUUUGCCAUUCGUUUGGCUUUUUCGAGUUCGCUUUUGGGUUUUCCCUUUUUACUUUGAGAAAAUUAGAGUGUUUCAAGCAGACUUUUGUCUUGAAUACUUCAGCAUGGAAUAAUAGAGUAGGACUUUGGUUCUAUU
rnacentral:rRNA from 1 species